AGAGAACAUCCAAAACAUUAACGUGCGCAUCAAUGGCGCCUCCUCGCGCGUUCGCUUGUACGACAAAAAAAUACAUCCAUCAAGCUCCCAUCGCUCGUCCCCGUCUUUAAUGUGUCGAAGUAAAAAAAAAUUAGCGAUGGAUCCCUUCCUUCCCUUGGAAGGUAGCCUCUACUUUUCUUUUGGCCCACAUCGUCACAUCAGCUCUCGCACGCAACCUCCAAAGCCUCCGCCGCCGCCGCCGCCGCCGCCUCAGCCAUUUCUCUCGUCUUCUCCUCCCUGUUCCCCUGCCCUAGCCUAUCUCUAGCACUCCGCCUCUCCCUUUCUUCCUCGAGUACGGCAGCGGAAGGGGGGCCGCGACGGGAGAGAGGUUCUCCGCCCCCGACAGACGACGUCACCGCCUCCGACCUUGGCCUCGUCUGCAGCAGCAGGGACCUCUGCCCGUGUGUCUCUGUCUCGCUGCUCAUCCUCCGGGAGGGGACUCGGAAGGAGGGUCAUGCUCCUGGUUGGGAUCUCCGUGCUCCCGCUCCUGCACCUCCAUCUGCGUUCGAUCUCGUCACUGGUGAGUAGUGCUCUGCUCAGCGUGGGGAUGACCUAUGAGAUUCUUAGUUUGAAAUCUGAUGUGAAUCUCCUAAAAACCGAUGCAAAUCUGUCUUGAGAACAUAACCUUCGAAUCACGGAUCCUUGGAGAUUUUCUGAAGCUUUAGUCCCAAGCCAGGAAAUGGCUAGCUGGCUAUGUUAAUCAUCGCUCUGAGGAAAUCAAAAUCUUCUGUGGGAAUGGCCACUCUGAAUGUUCUGAACCAUCCCUUGAUGUUGUCUCUAGGUCCGUCCAGGCCCUGCCGUCCACUUGCCGACUUCUUCUUGGCGCAAUGGGUGGGGUACGUUGGUCUGUGUUGGUCUCCAGUUUUGGUCUUGUUGUAGAGGUCUUCGACGGCGGUUGUGACGCGGUUCGGUUGCUCUGUGGCUUGCCCCAUCGCCAUCGGCAUGACGUUGGCCUAGGUGAAGCAAGUAUUUUAGUACGCGUGGUGGGUGUGUUUGCUAAUUCCUGUGAUUGGCAUUGUAAUAGCUGAAAGGCGUUGUAUCCGGCUUCUUUGCCGCUUAUUCUUUAAUAUAUGAUACAUAUGCUCAUGCGUAUUCAAGAAAAAUGUUCUGAACCAUCCCUACCCAUAUAAAGAAAUUGUGGGAGCGGGACGGCGGGAUCUGCUCCGUCCGGUGCGGGACGCGCUACUGUCGCUCAUGCAGCAGAACGGCGUCGACCUGAUCUUCUGGAGGGCAGGAUUUCACACAUGUGCAAUCUUCACACUCAAUAAUUUCUUGAUAUAGAGUCGAACCAGAACAUGUAUCAAGGGACCAUGACAUAUCUAGCAUCGGUAUGUGAAGAUGGCAAGAUCUGGUCAUGGCAUCUGACUUUUGACAAGUCAGUAUCUUCCAAGAAAAUUAAUCCUGCUCGGCCUCUUCGCGUGGUUCGUUGAGUGAUGGGUCGUGCCAUUGUCUAACUGGGUGCCCCUCGCGGCCGCCGUCUGGGCGAUGAUUCAGUAUGGGGUUGUAGAAGAUUUGAACAAAAGAUGGAAGCACCUUAUACUGAACACAACAGUACAGGCCUUGGGAGGGGUUGAACAAACUUUUGAUUGAAGUUUGGCCCAACUACAUGGAACCGAAACUAUCAAGGAAGUUUCGUGCUUGGAUGCAACUCAGUAGUUGGUAGUUCAAAAGGUUUCACAAAUAACAUUAGAUUAUACUAUAUGCAUCUGAUCCAUGGAAGUUGAUUAUGUAGAAUCAAAUCAUUUCAAAAUUCCUUUUGAUUCUGUUGAUUUGAGGUAGACGGUACACCUGCUGCAGUGGACUUCGUCGUCUCAUCAGCAUGCUCGCCCGCGACAGUACACCUGCUGCAGCUCCGGUGAGACGCUGGAACUCAUGGCGGCGCUCAUGGCGGUGUGCCUCAUACUGUACCUCAACUAACAUAUUGAUCUUCUACUUCUUUGCUAAUCAAACUGGGAAUCAUACUAUUCUCUUUCUGUCCUGUAAGCCCCACUAAUCACUAGGUCUCAUUACUCUUUCUAUCCGACGUGGCAUGCGAGAGCGAAGGAUAGAGGUGGCCACGAAAUACCCAACAAAUGCACUUGUCGAUCGUCUUGCUCUUAUUAGCUUGAUACUGCACUGUCGGCCCUGAAUCCUUGGAUAUUGGGAAGUUUGAAGAAGCAUGUGGUGUAGAUGAUGCCCAUCGACGCUGCUACCUCCGGAAGGUCACGGAUGAGGCCACCCGAGCUGGACAACGGGGCGUCUUUGGAUGUGGAGGAGGUCCGACCAGAGGAGCGGCAUGUACUUCCCUUGGUUUGAAUACUAUGGUCAGAUUUUUUUCCCGAGAAUCCACAAGUUGUGCUGGUCUUGAAGAAUGUAUUAAGUUCAUUGCAAACUUAAAGUUCAGAGAUGAUAUGCAAGGGCGCCGCCUCUCCCUCACCGUCCAUCGUCACUAGACACGACGUCGAGAUGAUGGAGAGGAUCAGUAGAAGGAUGAAGAUGGUGUAGGCCAUGGAGGCAUGAACCCACGUUGUGGCAAGGUUUAGGACUUGCUGAUCUAGAAAGGAGAGCGAUCAAGAAGAGAGCAUUCAUAAUUACGGAAGAACCUUGUGGUUUGCCAAAAGACUUGAAGAGAUAGAAGUAUCAGGUGUGGUUUUGUCACAAAAAAGGAAUCUGAAGUCCUCUUUCAUGCUUUCAAAGGUGUAUGUAGUACAAAGAUAGAGCAUAAUUGAUUGAAACACCAUGGAUGUCCUUUUUUUUACUUUCUUUUCCUUUCUUUUGAGAUAGAUGUUGUUUUAUUUCCCUUCCCGUAAUGUAUGUAUAGAUGCUGGUAUUUCGUUGUGAACUGAAGAAGCGUCUAAGGGUUAUAUCCUCUAAUCUCUCCGUACCACAAUAUAAAAUCAUUUUUCAGGCUAUGUGGGAUGGAGGGAGUAUCUUUCAAAUA